CUACGGGAGGCACCAGUGAGGAAUAUUGCACAAUGGGGGGAACCCUGAUGCAGCAACGCCGCGUGGAGGAUGACGCAUUUCGGUGUGUAAACUCCUUUUAUAUGUCAAGAAAAUGACGGUAGCAUAUGAAUAAGCACCGGCUAACUCCGUGCCAGCAGCCGCGGUAAUACGGAGGGUGCAAGCGUUACUCGGAAUCACUGGGCGUAAAGGACGCGUAGGCGGGUUGGAAAGUCAGGUGUGAAAUCCUACAGCUUAACUGUAGAACUGCACUUGAAACUUCUAAUCUAGAGUAUGGGAGGGGGAGAUGGAAUUAGUGGUGUAGGGGUAAAAUCCGUAGAUAUCAGGAGGAACACCGAUGGCGAAGGCGAUCUCCUGGAACAUUACUGACGCUAAGGCGUGAAAGCGUGGGGAGCAAACAGGAUUAGAUACCCUUGUAGUC
rnacentral:rRNA from 1 species